AAAGCAUUCUCUGGUGUUGAAGGCCCUGCAAAGCAGCAUCGCGGUGGCGGAGCGUCGUUUGCGACGCCCAACACACAAAACAAGCGGUGAGUGCUUUGGGGUGGGGUGACUGCGUACCUUUUGUAUAAUGGGUCAGCGACUUAUAUUCUGUAGCAAGGUUAACCGUAUAGGGGAGCCGUAGGGAAACCGAGUCUUAACCGGGCGUUAAGUUGCAGGGUAUAGACCCGAAACCCGGUGAUCUAGCCAUGGGCAGGUUGAAGGUUGGGUAACACUAACUGGAGGACCGAACCGACUAAUGUUGAAAAAUUAGCGGAUGACUUGUGGCUGGGGGUGAAAGGCCAAUCAAACCGGGAGAUAGCUGGUUCUCCCCGAAAGCUAUUUAGGUAGCGCCUCGUGAAUUCAUCUUCGGGGGUAGAGCACUGUUUCGGCUAGGGGGUCAUCCCGACUUACCAACCCGAUGCAAACUGCGAAUACCGGAGAAUGUUAUCACGGGAGACACACGGCGGGUGCUAACGUCCGUCGUGAAGAGGGAAACAACCCAGACCGCCAGCUAAGGUCCCAAAGUCAUGGUUAAGUGGGAAACGAUGUGGGAAGGCCCAGACAGCCAGGAUGUUGGCUUAGAAGCAGCCAUCAUUUAAAGAAAGCGUAAUAGCUCACUGGUCGAGUCGGCCUGCGCGGAAGAUGUAACGGGGCUAAACCAUGCACCGAAGCUGCGGCAGCGACACUGUGUGUUGUUGGGUAGGGGAGCGUUCUGUAAGCCUGCGAAGGUGGCCUGUGAGGGUUGCUGGAGGUAUCAGAAGUGCGAAUGCUGACAUAAGUAACGAUAAAGCGGGUGAAAAGCCCGCUCGCCGGAAGACCAAGGGUUCCUGUCCAACGUUAAUCGGGGCAGGGUGAGUCGACCCCUAAGGCGAGGCCGAAAGGCGUAGUCGAUGGGAAACAGGUUAAUAUUCCUGUACUUGGUGUUACUGCGAAGGGGGGACGGAGAAGGCUAUGUUGGCCGGGCGACGGUUGUCCCGGUUUAAGCGUGUAGGUGUGUGUUCCAGGUAAAUCCGGUUCACUUUAACACUGAUGCGUGAUGACGAGGCACUACGGUGCUGAAGCAACAAAUGCCCUGCUUCCAGGAAAAGCCUCUAAGCAUCAGGUAACAUCAAAUCGUACCCCAAACCGACACAGGUGGUCAGGUAGAGAAUACCAAGGCGCUUGAGAGAACUCGGGUGAAGGAACUAGGCAAAAUGGUGCCGUAACUUCGGGAGAAGGCA
rnacentral:rRNA from 1 species